AGUGAACGCUGGCGGUAGACCUAACACAUGCAAGUCGAACGGCAGCACAGUAAGAGCUUGCUCUUACGGGUGGCGAGUGGCGGACGGGUGAGGAAUACAUCGGAAUCUACUUUUUCGUGGGGGAUAACGUAGGGAAACUUACGCUAAUACCGCAUACGACCUACGGGUGAAAGCAGGGGAUCUUCGGACCUUGCGCGAUUGAAUGAGCCGAUGUCGGAUUAGCUAGUUGGCGGGGUAAAGGCCCACCAAGGCGACGAUCCGUAGCUGGUCUGAGAGGAUGAUCAGCCACACUGGAACUGAGACACGGUCCAGACUCCUACGGGAGGCAGCAGUGGGGAAUAUUGGACAAUGGGCGCAAGCCUGAUCCAGCCAUACCGCGUGGGUGAGGAAGGCCUUCGGGUUGUAAAGCCCUUUUGUUGGGAAAGAAAAGCAGCAGGUUAAUACCCCGCUGUUCUGACGGUACCCAAAGAAUAAGCACCGGCUAACUUCGUG
rnacentral:rRNA from 1 species